CAAUUUUCCCGCCAAUUGAAAAUUUAGCUUGUUCCACACAACGCAACGCCGCACUACACCACGCUUUCCCCUUCUUUGUCUCUCUUCAACUGUGUAUUUUCUCACUCGGAACCCUGUCCUAAAGCAGAGAGAGUAAUGGAAGCUGAGAGAGUAGAGACAAGCAGAUCACCAUCUUCAUCAUCACCAAAGAGAAAACCCCUGUCUGACAGCACCAACCUCCUCAUCCCCACCUCCACCAUCCUUGGCAAGCUCUCUUCCUCCCUCUCCACUACACCCCCAUUUCCAAAUUCCAAACCCUACAAUUCCAAACCCUACAAUCCAGACACCAAUUCCGACACCAGCAUCGGAUCAUCCAACCACAACCCUAACCCUAGCACCACCUUCAAAACCCAUCCUUCAACCCCUUCUCCGCUUUCCAUUUCCAUUCCUGGUAAUGGAAGUGAAGAGGCAGACGAGCCUCUUGUAGUUUAUAGUCGAAGACAGACUAUAGAGAAAACAAAGAAAAAUGGGAAGGCAGUUGCUGUGCCUUUUACUUGCUCCCCUCUACAAAAAACCAAUGAUAAGUUUGAAUCUGUGUCUGUUUCUUGCCCGCCUCGGCUGAAAACAAAAGAUAAAGGGAAGGCCGUCGCCGUACCUCCUAGUUUCUCCUCUCUGGGAAAAACAAAGGAUAGAGAGAACGCUGUUUCUGUGCCUAUCAGUUUCCGUUCUCUGGUGAAUACAAGGAAUGAAGGGAAGGCAAUUGCUACUCCUUGCCCACCCCUGCCAAGGACCAGGAGGAGACGGAAUGAAUUUAAUGAAGCUGGAAAAAUUGGUCUAUCUAAAUCGUGCAAAGUUCCUCCUGCAAAACAUAAAAAGAAGAGGUGCCGGGUAUUGCUGGAGCAAGAUGUUUCAGAACAUGCCUUGCCACAAGAAUUUAUUGAGGAACAGAGAGCUUACUUUAAAGAGGUUGAUGAUUUUGAACUACCAGAGGAGGAGAUAUUAGAAAAUGAGUUAGAUGAGGGAGAGGAAAACUAUUACACGAAAUAGUAGCACCAUAGCCAGUUGACUCUCUUUGUAUAGUUGCGAGAAUACAUUCCAUGAAUAUAUGCACCUGCUAGAAAUUACAGCAAUUGAGGAAGGCAUCCAAACAUAUACCUAGGGUUGGGACCUCAGGAGUCUGUAAUAUGUGGGGCCUUCGUUGGGCUGAGAAGCUAAGGUUAAGUUGCUGUUGCUGAUGCCAUUUGCCCUCAUUUCCAUGCAACUCUCUCGCGUUUGUUUCAUUCACAUGGACGUACAUGUACUAUCAAUUUUCUGCCUCUUCUCGAUCUUGAGUUUACUCUUAAUUGUUAACUCAUUUUUAUUAAAGACCUUUUUUAAAAAAAAAAAAAUUAAUUACAAAUAUUAGGAGAAUUAUAUUAAACUGGAUAAUUAAAAGUCUAAUAACGCCUAGUUAGAAAUCUAACAACCACAACAAGAAAUAAUUUGAGGGUAAAUUAUACUUACACUUCUUGAGGUUUGAGUUUAAUAUAUAUCACCCCUUACUGUUUGGGAAAGUAUACUAAUCCUCCUGUCAUUGAAAUUAUUUAGAUAGAAUGAAAAUAUUGAACUCAUGUACUUUUUCUUUUCUUGUUUUGUUUUACUUUAUUUGUUUUUUUUUCCC